UACGUAGGGGGCAAGCGUUGUCCGGAAUCAUUGGGCGUAAAGAGCGUGUAGGCGGCUCGAUAAGUCAGCUGUGAAAUCUCCGAGCUUAACUCGGAACGGUCAGCUGAUACUGAUCUGCUAGAGUGCGGAAGGGGCAAUCGGAAUUCUUGGUGUAGCGGUGAAAUGCGUAGAUAUCAAGAGGAACACCUGAGGUGAAGACGGGUUGCUGGGCCGACACUGACGCUGAGUGCGCGAAAGCCAGGGGAGCAAACGGG
rnacentral:rRNA from 1 species